UGCACCCAAUAUCUAUCAUUAAACCAAUUAUCAAGACAACCAACGACCAUUUGCGACACUCCAUGAUUACUUCCCAAACUUUGGUGAUGUCAUGGAGGAGAUUCGCAAAUCUUUAAAAUAAUGUAACUGUUGGUUCUAGACAAAUUAAAUGAGUUUAGGUCCCAAACAAGCAAGGUGUACACAUGGAUGAAAGUUGUCUUGAGAGACGGGAGACAUUACGGACUGAUUUAAUGACAUGUUUGAUGGACCCUUUAAAUCGAAUAUGUGUAAUUGAGUGGAGAGAGUGAACAAAUUCACGAGCAUUGUCCUAAUGUUGUUUAAUUGUUAUACUUAUAAGGGAAUGCAUUAAAUGUGAGUGACU
rnacentral:lncRNA from 1 species